rnacentral:rRNA from 1 species
UACGUAGGCAGCAAGCGUUGUUCGGAAUUACUGGGCGUAAAGCGAGCGUAGUCGGUUAUUUAAGUCGGGUGUGAAAGCCCCGGGCUCAACCUGGGAAUUGCAUUCGAUACUGGAUAGCUAGAGUUCGGCAGAGGGAAGCGGAAUUUCCGGUGUAGCGGUGAAAUGCGUAGAUAUCGGAAGGAACAUCAGUGGCGAAAGCGGCUUCCUGGACCAGAACUGACGAUCAGGCUCGAAAGCGUGGGGAGCAAACAGG